CAGUCGUGAGGAAGGUAGUGUAGUUAAUAGCUGCAUUAUUUGACGUUUAGCGACAGAAGAAGCACCGGCUAACUCCGUGCCAGCAGCCGCGGUAAUACGGAGGGUGCGAGCGUUAAUCGGAAUUACUGGGCGUAAAGCGCAUGCAGGUGGUUUGUUAAGUUCAGAUGUGAAAGACCCGGGGCGUCAACCUCGGAAUAGCAUUUGUAAACUAGGCAGACUAGAGUACUGUAGAGGGGGGUAGGAAUUUCAGGUGUAGCGGUGAAAUAGCGUAGAGAUCUGAAGGAAUACCGGUGGCGAAGGCGGCCCCCUCGGACAGAUACUGACACUCAGAUGCGAAAGCGUGGGGAGCAAACAGGAUUAGAUACCCUGGUAG
rnacentral:rRNA from 1 species